rnacentral:tRNA from 1 species
UGCGGGUUGAUGUAAAAGUAACAUAACUGGCUCAUGCCCAGUCUACAGGGGUGCAAAUCCUUUACCCGCGU